GUGCAGCAGGCGAGAAAACUUCACACUGUGCGAAAGCAGGAUGAGGGAAUCCCAAGUGCUUGCACGUAAGUGUAAGCUGUUUCUCUGUCUAAAACGCAGAGAGAGUAAGGGCUGGGUAAGACGGGUGCCAGCCGCCGCGGUAAUACCUGCAGCUCAAGUGGUGACCGUUAUUAUUGGGCCUAAAACGUCCGUAGCCGGCUUAAUAAAUGCCUGGGUAAAUUGUGUAGCUUAACUAUACGAAUUCCGGGUAGACUGUUAAACUUGAGACCGGGAGAAGUUAGAGGUACUCCUGGGGUAGAGGUGAAAUUCUGUAAUCCUAGGGGACCACCAGUGGCGAAGGCGUCUAACUAGAACGGGUCUGACGGUGAGGGACGAAGCCCUGGGGCGCAAACGGGAUUAGAUACCCCUGUAGU
rnacentral:rRNA from 1 species